rfam:Hordeum vulgare subsp. vulgare, WGS project CAJW01000000 data, contig: morex_contig_1094832
AAAGUACUCCCUCCAUCCCAAAAUUCUCGUCUGAUAUUUGUUUAGAUACAAAUGUAUCUAGUCAAAUUUAGUACAGAGAUACAUCUAGACAAAGCUAAGACAAGAAUUUUGGGACGAAGGGAGUAUCAU